rnacentral:rRNA from 1 species
CCUACGGGUGGCAGCAGUGGGGGAUAUUGCACAAUGGGGGGAACCCUGAUGCAGCGACGCCGCGUGGGUGAAGGAGCGUUUCGGCGCGUAAAGCCCUAUCAGCAGGGAAGAAGAUGACGGUUCCUAACCAAGAAGCCCCUGCUAACUACGGGCCAGCAUCCGCGGUCAUACGUAGGGGGCAAGCGUUCGCCGGAGUUAUGGGGUUUAAAGGUUUCGUAGGCGGACUGUUAAGUCAGCGGUAAAAGCCCGGGGCCAAAGCGCGGCGAGCCUGUGAAACUGGCUGUCUGGAGAUGUCGAGAGGUAGGCGGAAUGCGAAGUGUAGCGGUGAAAUGCUUAGAUAUUGCGAAGAACUCCGAUUGCGAAGGCAGCAUACCGGCGGCGAUCUGACGCUGAGGCACGAAAGCGUGGGUAUCGAACAGGAUUAGAUACCCCAGUAGUC